AACCGGCUCGCGGCCGCCGGCUUCCGAGUUUUAAAUAAACUCCCCGGACACGAGUUUUUAAAUAAACUCGUGUCCCCCCCGCCCCCGCCCCCUCGCGCGCGCGCGACCGCAGGGGUCCCCCGGCCUCUUGUGCCCUGGGGGUCCCGGCCCGGCGCAGGCUCCUCCGGACCCGGGGGUAGGGGCGUCGGGACCCCACGAGCGGCACCAGGUACCUAAGGCUGCGCCCAGGGCGACGGAAUUUUUUUUUUAAGUUUUUUUUUUAAAGAAGUUUUCAAUCCGGGCCUCCUCGGGAAAGCGGCUGCAACGGUGACCCCCGAGCGCCACGCCUGUACUUCUCUGCGUUCUCCAUGAGGAAGCAAGCCCGGGGCCUUCAGGAACCACGACGCCUAAUGAGCUUCCACCCAGAUGGUCCCGAAACCCGAGGGACGCAGGGGAGGCGCCCAGGUCCUCAGAUGGGCCAGGAAUGGCCUCGUGGGGCCUACUCAGAAGGACUCAGAGUUCUUCCCGGUGGUCUCAGCGAUGGCUGGUGUGGAAACCACGCGUGUCCCCAUGCUGCCGGCCUGUGUGUAUCAAGGACUAGAUCACACUUUCCGGCUGGCCCAGUUCUGCAGCCCUCAUAAAAUACACCCAUGUCGGUCGGGCGUCGCUGCCCGGCGCACUGCCUUGCAGCAGGGACCUUUUCGAGCUUAUUUUCUUCAGUAGGAAACACGAAAACUAGCCACUGCCCCGUCGUGUUUUUUCCUUGCGUAAAAGAAAGGGGCUCCUUACUACAGGUCGGCCACCGGCUCUUCAGGUACAGAGAUCUGAACUUGGAAAGACCUGCCUUUCUAAAGGGAGUGAUAAUGAACACUGCGGCGUAAGUGUCCCAGGAUUUAAAACCGAAACUCCAACAAAAAAAAAUUUUUUAAACUCUGCUACUAGCAAGAGCACAUUGUGUAAAACACUGACACGGGACAUGGUUUAAACAUGUCAACAUUUUCUAACAUUGGGAUGAAGUGGUGUCUACCUCCCGUCCCGUGAAGCGUCAGGGCACCGACCACACGGACCCCCCUCCGUGGAGCUCACGGCCCUGUGCUCAGCUCUGCUAAGACCAGCGAGUUUUCCAGAGCUGGGGGAGCCCGGUUCUCAAGCAAGCCCCGCAGUUAUCAGGGUCGCGCAGGAAGCGGCAGCGCUCGGAAGGACGUCUGCCCUUAUGAAGUACAUAUGUUGGCAGGUGUGCUGGCGCUCUUUAAAUAAAUUAUAUAAAAUAUUUCAGAGCUGGUAAGGAAUUUGGAAAAGCGUCUUCCAAUUUCCAUUAGCAUUGCAAUCCCUAAUCCCUAACUCGUAUGCUCA
rnacentral:lncRNA from 1 species